rnacentral:rRNA from 1 species
AUGAACGCUAGCUACAGGCUUAACACAUGCAAGUCGAGGGGCAGCAGAUCGAUAGCUUGCUAUUGAUGCUGGCGACCGGCGCACGGGUGAGUAACGCGUAUCCAACCUUCCCCAUAGUAGAGGAUAGCCCGGCGAAAGUCGGAUUAAUACUCUAUGUUGUACAACGAGGACAUCUGAAUUGUACCAAAGAUUCAUCGCUAUGGGAUGGGGAUGCGUCUGAUUAGCUUGUUGGCGGGGUAACGGCCCACCAAGGCGACGAUCAGUAGGGGUUCUGAGAGGAAGGUCCCCCACAUUGGUACUGAGACACGGACCAAACUCCUACGGGAGGCAGCAGUGAGGAAUAUUGGUCAAUGGACGAGAGUCUGAACCAGCCAAGUAGCGUGCAAGGAUGACUGCCCUAUGGGUUGUAAACUGCUUUUAUGCGGGAAUAAAGUCAGGUACGUGUACCUGUUUGUAUGUACCGCAUGAAUAAGGACCGGCUAAUUCCGUGCCAGCCGCCGC